AGUUGAUAUAGAAAAACUAAGAGACUUACAGGUGAGGAACAGAACAGGAACAGGUUGUUCAUAUAGAUGCUGAAAAUGAUCAUCUAGAGUAGGCUAUAAUUAAGGGCAUUACUUUAAGAACCUAGAAAAACAAAAGUUAUCUAAACAUUGGUAUUAUAUAGUAAAAAUAGUAGUCUGGCUAAGUAAAACUUGUAAACAAUAAAGAUAAAUGCUUAGUAGAGUGAAAUAACUUUGAAACUACUGCCACUCAAAACUGAUAUAUAUGAAAAUUCUAAAAAUGAAAAGAUAUUCAAAGUUAGUGCUUAGCUAUUACAUUUUCAAAGUAAUAAAAUAAGGAGAAUAUUUAAGAUAAAAAGAAAAGAAAUUCUAGUACGCAUUUUGAAGGGUAUAAAGGAA